rnacentral:rRNA from 1 species
CUGGCGGCAUGCCUUACACAUGCAAGUCGAACGGUAACAGGUCUUCGGAUGCUGACGAGUGGCGAACGGGUGAGUAAUACAUCGGAACGUGCCCAGUAAUGGGGGAUAGCUCGGCGAAAGCCGGAUUAAUACCGCAUACGCCCUGAGGGGGAAAGUGGGGGAUCGCAAGACCUCACGUUAUUGGAGCGGCCGAUGGCUGAUUAGCUAGUUGGUAGGGUAAAGGCCUACCAAGGCGACGAUCAGUAGCUGGUCUGAGAGGACGAUCAGCCACACUGGGACUGAGACACGGCCCAGACCCCUACGGGAGGCAGCAGUGGGGAAUUUUGGACAAUGGGGGAAACCCUGAUCCAACAAUGCCGCGUGUGCGAAGAAGGCCUUCGGGUUGUAAAGCACUUUUGCCAGGGAAGAAAUCCUUUGGGCUAAUACCCUAGGGGGAUGACGGUACCUGAAGAAUAAGCACCGGCUAACUACGUGCCAGCAGCCGCGGUAAUACGUAGGGUGCAAGCGUUAAUCGGAAUUACUGGGCGUAAAGCGUGCGCAGGCGGUUGUGUAAGACAGGUGUGAAAUCCCCGGGCUUAACCUGGGAAUUGCGUUUGUGACUGCACGACUAGAGUGUGUCAGAGGGGGGUGGAAUUCCACGUGUAGCAGUGAAAUGCGUAGAUAUGUGGAGGAACACCAAUGGCGAAGGCAGCCCCCCUGGGAUAACACUGACGCUCAUGCACGAAAGCGUGGGGAGCAAACAGGAUUAGAUACCCUGGUAGUCCACGCCCUAAACGAUGUCAACUAGUUGUUGGGGAUUUACUUCCUUGGUAACGUAGCUAACGCGUGAAGUUGACCGCCUGGGGAGUACGGCCGCAAGGUUAAAACUCAAAGGAAUUGACGGGGACCCGCACAAGCGGUGGAUGAUGUGGAUUAAUUCGAUGCAACGCGAAAAACCUUACCUACCCUUGACAUGGCAGGAACUUUCCAGAGAUGGAUUGGUGCUCGAAAGAGAACCUGCACACAGGUGCUGCAUGGCUGUCGUCAGCUCGUGUCGUGAGAUGUUGGGUUAAGUCCCGCAACGAGCGCAACCCUUGUCAUUAGUUGCUACGAAAGGGCACUCUAAUGAGACUGCCGGUGACAAACCGGAGGAAGGUGGGGAUGACGUCAAGUCCUCAUGGCCCUUAUGGGUAGGGCUUCACACGUCAUACAAUGGUCGGUACAGAGGGUUGCCAAGCCGCGAGGUGGAGCCAAUCCCAGAAAACCGAUCGUAGUCCGGAUCGCAGUCUGCAACUCGACUGCGUGAAGUCGGAAUCGCUAGUAAUCGCGGAUCAGAAUGCCGCGGUGAAUACGUUCCCGGGUCUUGUACACACCGCCCGUCACACCAUGGGAGUGGGUUCUACCAGAAGUGGCUAGUCUAACCGAAAGGAGGACGGUCACCCCGGUAGGAUUCAU